rnacentral:tRNA from 1 species
CCGACUUGGUAUAGAUUGGUGUACGUGAGAUUGUAAAUCUUGAGGGGGUUUUCCAGUCGGA